UACGUAGGGUGCAAGCGUCGUCCGGAAUUAUUGGGCGUAAAGAGCUCGUAGGCGGUUUGUCGCGUCUGCUGUGAAAACUCGGGGCUUAACCCCGGGCCUGCAGUGGGUACGGGCAGACUAGAGUGCGGUAGGGGAGACUGGAAUUCCUGGUGUAGCGGUGAAAUGCGCAGAUAUCAGGAGGAACACCGGUGGCGAAGGCGGGUCUCUGGGCCGAUACUGACGCUGAGGAGCGAAAGCGUGGGGAGCGAACAGG
rnacentral:rRNA from 1 species